rnacentral:misc_RNA from 1 species
AAGUCGUAACAAGGUUUCCGUAGGUGAACCUGCGGAAGGAUCAUUAACACAAGUAAAAAAAAACAUUUUACAACACCCUAUUAUGAAUUUAAAUUUUUUAAUUUUAAUUUUUUUUAUAAAACUACAAAAAAAUAUUUAAUUUAUUUGACUAACAUUUUUUUAAUUAAUUUAUUUAAAAUUUUAUAAAACAACUCUUAACAACGGAUAUCUUGGCUCUC